ACGCACUGCUGCCAACGCCCAGGUGGAGGAGCUGAGGUCAACGUCAAAUUUGAAAUAUUUAAACUAUUUCCACAAUGCAGACAAUGAAGUGCGUUGUUGUGGGCAACGGUGCUGUUGGUAAAACAUGUCUCCUGAUAUCCUACACAACAAACAAAUUUCCAUCUGAAUAUGUACCAACUGUUUUUGACAACUAUGCAGUCGCAGUUAUGAUUGGUGGAGAGCCAUACACUCUUGGGCUUUUUGAUACUGCAGGGAAAGAGGAUUAUGACAGAUUACGACCACUGAGUUAUCCACAAACAGAUGUAUUUCUAGUCUGUUUUUCAGUGGUCUCUCCAUCCUCAUUUGAAAAUGUGAAAGAAAAGUGGGUGCCUGAGAUAGCUCACCAUUGUCUAAAGACUCCUUUCUUGCUUGUUGGGACCCAAAUUGAUCUCAGAGAUGAUCCCUCUACUAUUGAGAAACUUACCAAGAACAAACAGAAACCUAUCACUCCAGAGACUGCUGAAAAGCUGGCCUGUGAUCUGAAGGCUGUCAAGUAUAUGGAGUGUUCUGCACUCACACAGAAAGGCCUAAAGAAUGUGUAUGCUGAAGCAACACUGGCUGCCCUGGAGCCUCCAGAACCGAAGAAGAGCCGCAGCUGUGGGCUGCUAGGAACAUCUCUCCAGACCCCUCUGCACAGCUGGUGUCGGCAUCAUACUAAAAGCAAUGUUUAA